rfam:Lactococcus piscium MKFS47 genome assembly, chromosome: I
GUUUUUGGAUAAUUGCGCGACUUCUUGGGUUUACCCUUGUGAGUCGUGAGGAAAGUCCAUGCUCGCGCGGGCUGAGAUUGCCCGCAGUGUUUGUGCUAGGCGAAACAAUAAGCCUGGGUAGGUGUGUCAGACCUAACGGCUGAAUUUUAGCUAAGUUUUCCUAGGAAAAUAUGCGACAAAUUCUGUAAAAGUGCCAUAGAGACGAGUUGCUUUGGAAACUUAGCAAGUGGAACGUGGUAAACCCCUCAAGCGAGCAACCCAAACUUAUGGUAGGGGCACUUGUCACGCGGAAUUGAACGUACGACGAGGUUAUGUUAAAGGGAUCUUUAACAUAACAGACAGAUGAUUAUCGAAGGUUAACGCUCAACCGUUAACUGGAACAAAACAUGGCUUAUAGAA